rnacentral:rRNA from 1 species
UACGUAGGGUGCGAGCGUUGUCCGGAAUUAUUGGGCGUAAAGAGCUCGUAGGCGGUGUGUCACGUCGGCCGUGAAAACCUGCAGCUUAACUGUGGGCGUGCGGUCGAUACGGGCAUCACUGGAGUUCGGCAGGGGAGACUGGAAUUCCUGGUGUAGCGGUGAAAUGCGCAGAUAUCAGGAGGAACACCGGUGGCGAAGGGCGGGGUCUCUGGGCCAUACUGACGUGAGGAAGCGAAAGGCGUGGGGGAGCGAA